CAGGAAUCAAACGGCAGGCAGGAGGCAGCUUAUGACGUCCAAGCACCAGCUAGCCUAGCCGGCCACUCAUCCUUGCGAGGCAGGAAAGGAUUACAGUCCCAAGACACUGAACAAUACAGCUUCGCAAGGGAUCGAGAAGCAGACAAGAAGAAGAGAACGGGCAACGUCGAUACGGCUAAAAGGACGGUAACUGGUACCAAGGUCAGCCCUCGCAAGAAAUGCCUCGACGGGAACCGGACACCCGGGAAGACGUCAGGCGCGAGCCGUGCCCGCCCGUCCCGACCCAGGCGUGCCCAAACAACGAUGCACGCCGUCUCGGCGCGACGCGCGCACCCGUCGGCAUCAAACUGUGCGCUGGACGGGACCGGUCGGCUGAGCCCGGGAGGAUCGGUGGACGGCCUUGGAGCCUUCUCCCUUGGCCCCGGGCGGACGCCGUGCGGGCGCAACGGGAUGCCGCGGGGCCGCGACGCCGGCUACGGACACCGCCCGCGCCCCGGGCCGAUGCCGCCACGGAGAAGCGGCUCGUGGACUUUCCGCGUUCGAGAUGAACCAAGUCACGAGCCGACGCGCCCAGCUCGCGCGCGCUACUCGGAACGGACGGAGCGGAGGCCCCCAACCGGAGCGAGCGCGCGCCCGUGGGCCUGGCUCGCUCGUUGGAAGCUUGAGACGAGUAAAGAAAGAAAGGAACACGCCCCCGGGUGUCGCGCGCGGGCGUACGUGGUGGGCGCGCCCGGGAUGCCUGGAAAACGGCUGGGGGAAGGCCGGGCGCGCGGUCGACUGCGUGCGAGCCACGGCGCGCGUCGUCCGUGCGCGACUGGGCGGGGCGAUACUAUUAUUAUCGCGUGUCCUCUCGCCUGUGCGUCCGUGCACGCAUGGCUGUUGCCGUGGCGACACCGGUGUUACAGGGCGCGCGUGUGUCCUCCGUCCGAUGCGCCGGGCAGGCAGACCGACCGUUUCUGCGGUUCGAAGCCUGUAGCCUGGUGCUGCACGACCGUAGCGUCGUGUCUAUUGAGGCAGUACGACGGGACUGGUUGGCCCGUGACUUCACGUUUUUAUCCAGCUCUCACGCAUUUUUCUUCUCCUCUGUUUUCCCGCGAGAGAUCGGGCCAAAAUCAUACGGUACAUGUAUGUUCUGCAUUUUUUUUUCUUCUAUAUGAGCAUACGUGCCAAAAGCUAGUACUACUACCUAGAAAAGAUGAUAAUCUAUAUACAUG
rnacentral:misc_RNA from 1 species